rnacentral:rRNA from 1 species
AGCGAACGCUGGCGGCAGGCUUAACACAUGCAAGUCGAGCGGGCACUUUCGGGUGUCAGCGGCGGACGGGUGAGUAACGCGUGGGAACGUGCCCUCUGGUUCGGAAUAACUCAGGGAAACUUGAGCUAAUACCGGAUACGCCCUUUUGGGGAAAGGCUUGCUGCCGGAGGAUCGGCCCGCGUCUGAUUACCUAGUUGGUGAGGUAACGGCUCACCAAGGCGACGAUCAGUAGCUGGUCUGAGAGGAUGAUCAGCCACACUGGGACUGAGACACGGCCCAGACUCCUACGGGAGGCAGCAGUGGGGAAUAUUGGACAAUGGGCGCAAGCCUGAUCCAGCCAUGCCGCGUGAGUGAUGAAGGCCUUAGGGUUGUAAAGCUCUUUUAUCCGGGACGAUAAUGACGGUACCGGAGGAAUAAGCCCCGGCUAACUUCGUG